rnacentral:tRNA from 2 species
GUGGCUGUGGUGAAGCGGUUAACACGUGCGACUGUGACUCGCAUAUGCGAGGGUUCGAUACCCUCCAGCCACCCCA